rnacentral:rRNA from 1 species
GAUCCUGGCUCAGGACGAACGCUGGCGGCGUGCCUAAUACAUGCAAGUCGUACGCUUCUUUUUCCACCGGAGCUUGCUCCACCGGAAAAAGAGGAGUGGCGAACGGGUGAGUAACACGUGGGUAACCUGCCCAUCACAAGGGGAUAACACUUGGAAACAGGUGCUAAUACCGUAUAACAAUCGAAACCGCAUGGUUUUGAUUUGAAAGGCGCUUUCGGGUGUCGCUGAUGGAUGGACCCGCGGUGCAUUAGCUAGUUGGUGAGGUAACGGCUCACCAAGGCCACGAUGCAUAGCCGACCUGAGAGGGUGAUCGGCCACAUUGGGACUGAGACACGGCCCAAACUCCUACGGGAGGCAGCAGUAGGGAAUCUUCGGCAAUGGACGAAAGUCUGACCGAGCAACGCCGCGUGAGUGAAGAAGGUUUUCGGAUCGUAAAACUCUGUUGUUAGAGAAGAAUAAGGAUGAGAGUAACUGUUCAUCCCUUGACGGUAUCUAACCAGAAAGCC